rnacentral:rRNA from 1 species
GAUGAACGCUAGCGGCGGGCUUAAUACAUGCAAGUCAAGGGGUAGCAAUACACCGGCGUACGGGUGCGUAACGCGUAUGGAACCUGCCCUUAUCUGGGGGAUAACUCGGGGAAACUCGGGCUAAUACCGCAUAAGAUAGUAGAAUGGCAUCAUUCAGCUAUUAAAGAUUUAUCGGAUAAGUAUGGCCAUGCGUAAGAUUAGAUAGUUGGUGGGGUAACGGCUCACCAAGUCUACGAUCUUUAGGGGCUCUGAGAGGAGAAUCCCCCGCACUGGGACUGGGAUACGGGCCAGACUCCUACGGGAGGCAGCAGUAGGGAAUAUUGGGCAAUGGGCGGAAGCCUGACCCAGCCACGCCGCGUGCAGGAAGAAGGCCCUCUGGGUUGUAAACUGCUUUUGAUUGGGAAGAAAGCAUCUCAUGCGUGGGAUUUUGACGGUACCAAUCGAAUAAGCCACGGCUAACUACGUGCCAGCCGCCGCCGUAAGAC